GAUUUUAAGUUAAAAAAACUAUAAACCUUCAAAGUUUAAAAUAAAAAAGAAAAUUUUAAGUCUUA
rnacentral:tRNA from 1 species